GGGCUGUGCUCAGAGCAGGGGGCUGAAGAAAUGGCUCUUCUGUUUACAACGCACCCAACAGGAACCUGGGUUCCUUGUGACAAGUGGCACAAAACUUGUGGUUUUCCUAUGGACAGAUGCCCUACAUGU
rnacentral:snoRNA from 1 species